UGCUUCUGUGUUCAAUUCCCAGUACCAAAAAGGGCAGGGGGGGUGGGGUGCGUACAUAUUUCACUAUAUAGAAAGAGGAGGCAGUUUAAGCCUACCCCAUGUACACCUUAGCCCAGUCCCUGUGCCAGCCUGAUCUGUACUGUGAAUAGGGAAACAUGG
rnacentral:snoRNA from 1 species